GGAAAAGAGGAGUGGCGAACGGGUGAGUAACACGUGGGUAACCUGCCCAUCAGAAGGGGAUAACACUUGGAAACAGGUGCUAAUACCGUAUAACAAUCGAAACCGCAUGGUUUCGUUUUGAAAGGCGCUUUACGGUGCCGCUGAUGGAUGGACCCGCGGUGCAUUAGCUAGUUGGUGAGGUAACGGCUCACCAAGGCCACGAUGCAUAGCCGACCUGAGAGGGUGAUCGGCCACAUUGGGACUGAGACACGGCCCAAACUCCUACGGGAGGCAGCAGUAGGGAAUCUUCGGCAAUGGACGAAAGUCUGACCGAGCAACGCCGCGUGAGUGAAGAAGGUUUUCGGAUCGUAAAACUCUGUUGUUAGAGAAGAACAAGGGUGAGAGUAACUGUUCACCCCUUGACGGUAUCUAACCAGAAAGCCACGGCUAACUACGUGCCAGCAGCCGCGGUAAUACGUAGGUGGCAAGCGUUGUCCGGAUUUAUUGGGCGUAAAGCGAGCGCAGGCGGUUUCUUAAGUCUGAUGUGAAAGCCCCCGGCUCAACCGGGGAGGGUCAUUGGAAACUGGGAGACUUGAGUGCAGAAGAGGAGAGUGGAAUUCCAUGUGUAGCGGUGAAAUGCGUAGAUAUAUGGAGGAACACCAGUGGCGAAGGCGGCUCUCUGGUCUGUAACUGACGCUGAGGCUCGAAAGCGUGGGGAGCA
rnacentral:rRNA from 1 species